rnacentral:lncRNA from 1 species
AUGAGAAAACAAAAUCCAAUAACAGUGUCUGGGUCGUGGAAAACAAGUUUUAAUCACAGAGCCUACGUAGAGUGUGACCCUGGUGCCCAAAAGCAGAGGCCAUACCCACAGCAGCCACCAUCUUCUUCUUACCAUGCCCAGUGGCUACGGCGUGAUUCCGUGGACAGAGGCAGAUGGGUGUUACUUGCCAGCAAAAAAAAAAAGGAAUGGAAAGCAAAAGCGUGGCAGAAAAGUCCUCUCCUUUUAGUUUUGAGGAUUUGACCUUUACUGUGGUUAACAGCCUUCCCCAACACCGACCUGGCUUGAGACGUCGAGGGGAGCCUGCCUGCUUAAAUCACCUUUCCUAAGACUUUGAGGAGGGUGGGAAUGUGUCACCGCAGUGAUCUGACACCUCACCUACGUGGGGUGGCCUUAUUUCAAAGCCUUUGGGAUGGCGGAGUGAGUUAAAGGGCUUUCAGAAUCUGUGGAUGACCUGGUGGGAACCCAAUGCUCGUCCUCAAAACCCGCUUGUACUUUCUGUUUUGCGACCUUGGCGGGUGAGUGGUUGGGAAAGUUGUUGACAUGCCAUCUGCACCUGCUUCACUCUGCCACCCAGCAAUGGGUCCUUUCCCUUCCCAAGCGCCGCCGGCUUCUGAUACCAGUGGGAAAUUGGCAGCUCUUACAUGAAAGCAGUAGAUUCCAGUUUCCUCUUUUGGCUUAUUUGCCGAGAUAGGAAAGGAGCUGUUAUUGUUAUGGUCCCGGUGCUCUGUGUCAGAGCUCUCUUCCCCACAUAACUGCUUUUGCAGUCAUUCAAAAACACUUUGUCAAUAGCAUACGGCAUCGUAUCUUGUAUUGUGUAUUGGAUUGCCCCGAGAUAAUUUUUUUUCCCCAGUAUCACGGGCUUAAUUCCAAACAAAACUGCACAACCUACGGUGAAAAUAUUUCCCUCUUGGUCUUUCUUCCUCAUUUCUGUUAAAGACUAAGAGAGUGCAGAAUAAAAGUGGCUAUCUGGUGGCGGGGCCUAAAAAA